rnacentral:rRNA from 1 species
AGAGUUUGAUCCUGGCUCAGGAUGAACGCUGGCGGCAUGCCUAAUACAUGCAAGUCGAACGAGAGGAAGGAAAGCUUGCUUUUCUGAAUCUAGUGGCGAACGGGUGAGUAACACGUAGGUAACCUGCCCAUGUGCCCGGGAUAACUUCUGGAAACGGAUGCUAAAACCGGAUAGGUAGCAGACAAGCAUUUGACUGCUAUUAAAGUGGCUAAGGCCAUGAACAUGGAUGGACCUGCGGUGCAUUAGCUAGUUGGUGAGGUAACGGCCCACCAAGGCGACGAUGCAUAGCCGGCCUGAGAGGGCGGACGGCCACAUUGGGACUGAGACACGGCCCAAACUCCUACGGGAGGCAGCAGUAGGGAAUUUUCGUCAAUGGGGGGAACCCUGAACGAGCAAUGCCGCGUGAGUGAGGAAGGUCUUCGGAUCGUAAAGCUCUGUUGUAAGAGAAAAACGACAUUCAUAGGGAAUGAUGAGUGAGUGAUGGUAUCUUACCAGAAAGUCACGGCUAACUACGUGCCAGCAGCCGCGGUAAUACGUAGGUGGCGAGCGUUAUCCGGAAUCAUUGGGCGUAAAGAGGGAGCAGGCGGCCGCAAGGGUCUGUGGUGAAAGACCGAAGCUAAACUUCGGUAAGCCAUGGAAACCGGGCGGCUAGAGUGCGGAAGAGGAUCGUGGAAUUCCAUGUGUAGCGGUGAAAUGCGUAGAUAUAUGGAGGAACACCAGUGGCGAAGGCGACGGUCUGGGCCGCAACUGACGCUCAUUCCCGAAAGCGUGGGGAGCAAAUAGGAUUAGAUACCCUAGUAGUCCACGCCGUAAACG